AACGAACGCUGGCGGCGCGUCUUAAGCAUGCAAGUCGAACGGCAAGAGAGAAGCUUGCUUCUCUCCUAGAGUGGCGGACUGGUGAGGAACGCGUGGGUAAUCUGCCCUUAAGAUGGGGAUAGCCGCUAGAAAUAGCGGGUAAUACCGAAUACACUCACUAAACCGGAGGGAGUAGUGAGGAAAGGAAGCUAAGGCUUCGCUUGAGGAUGAGCCUGCGUCCCAUUAGCUUGUUGGUAAGGUAACGGCUUACCAAGGCGACGAUGGGUAUCCGGCCUGAGAGGGUGAUCGGACACAUUGGGACUGAGAUACGGCCCAAACUCCUACGGGAGGCAGCAGCUAAGAAUAUUCCGCAAUGGACGGAAGUCUGACGGAGCGACGCCGCGUGGAUGAAGAAGGCUGAAAAGUUGUAAAAUUCUUUUGCUGAUGAAGAAUAAGGAUAAGAGGGAAUGCUUGUCUGAUGACGGUAAUCGGCG
rnacentral:rRNA from 1 species